GUGUCAGCAGCCGCGGUAAUACGAAGGGGGCUAGCGUUGUUCGGAAUUACUGGGCGUAAAGGGCGCGUAGGCGGCUCUGUGCGUCGGGCGUGAAAGGCCUGGGCUCAACCCAGGAAUGGCGCCCGAUACGGCGGAGCUCGAGUGUGGGAGAGGAUGGUGGAAUUCCCAGUGUAGAGGUGAAAUUCGUAGAUAUUGGGAAGAACACCGGUGGCGAAGGCGGCCAUCUGGACCACAACUGACGCUGAGGCGCGAAAGCGUGGGGAGCAAACAGGAUUAGAUACCCUGGUAGUCCACGCCGUAAACGAUGUGCGCUAGACGUUGGGGGACCUAGUCUCCCGGUGUCGCCGCUAACGCAUUAAGCGCACCGCCUGGGGAGUACGGCCGCAAGGUUAAA
rnacentral:rRNA from 1 species